ACAUGCCUACAACAUAGCGUUAAUGAAUUGGAUCCCAUUAGAACUCCGCAGUUAAGCACGCUCGGGCUAUAGUAGUACUGGGAUGGGUGAUCACUCGGGAAGUCCGAGUAUUUUCCAUGCC
rnacentral:rRNA from 1 species